rnacentral:rRNA from 1 species
GGUUGCUAUCAUACCAGCACUAAUGCACCGGAUCCCAUCAGAACUCCGCAGUUAAGCGUGCUUGGGGGAGAGUAGUACUAGGAUGGGUGACCCCCUGGGAAGUCCUCGUGUUGCAACCC